GAUGACACAAGCGUUGUCAAGCUAUCAGUGCGAAGAAUAGGUCUAUUCUCAUUUAUGCUAUUCUUGCUCUUCACAACGCAUGUUAACUUCAUAACUGGAAAGUAACCAUCGUAGCAAUAUACCUGUGCUCUUGUAUACCAAACAAUUCACCAAAUUCACUAAAAUGAUAUCCAAGGCAGAUAAAGCUCAGAUAAAUUAUGAUAUAAAUGAAUUAAAGUUGGUGACAGUAUCACUAAGAAGCAAAGCUUAUUUAGAUGAGGAUGUGAGGGAAGUGGAGCUGAAAAGAAACAUUAAAGCUUCUGAAGAUUUCACUAAAUUUGCACAAGAAACAGUGAAAAUAAAGUGAAUUAUAUGAAGAAGAUAUGAAGAUAAUGAAGAAAAUAUCAGGUGAAAAUGUUUUACAUCAAGUCAUGCAUGAUUUUAUUUGUUUUGAUUUUCAGAAUAUGAUUUAAUAUUGUAUUAAUGCAAGUGAUUCAUAUUGUCAAUGUUUAUGCAGUGAAGUAAUAGAAAAAACUAGGAGUUAUAACAGUUUAACACAGCAGUAAUUCCAUCAAAUAUUUGGAAAACUACUGCUACAUGGUGAUGUGAAAUCAAAUAUGAUUACACUUGAUGAAGAUGCAUAUAUGGUACAGGGAAAAUGUUCAGAGCAAUAUGUAAAUACAAGAAAUAAAAACGAAAAUGAAACAAGAACAGUCAGCUUCGUAGAAAAUGCGUCCCCAAGACGGCCAAACAUUGUAGAAGAUCGUGACGUCUAUUUCUCUCAGGAUCAUCAAUAUUGCAUGACAUCUCCACACAACAACAUCAAUAAUUUGGAACAAGCAAUAGAAACAAGGCAAUUCCCUACUGAUAAUCAUAUUCGAAGAUGAAUAGAAAACAUUUAAAUGUUUUUUAACUGUGAAAGUGUGUUAUUCGUAAAAACAUUUGUGUAGAAGAAUUGCGUUUAGUAUUGCAAUAACACAUUACUAUGUGUAUUUUAUGAUGUAGACAAAAUUGAUUGACCUUAUUUAUUCUAUAAUAAACAGUGUAAAGUUCA